rnacentral:pre_miRNA from 8 species
UCCAGACACCAGCACUGACCCGAUUCGCUGUGGAAGACUAGUGAUUUUGUUGUUGUUUCUUCUGCUUUCUGACAACAAGUCACAGUCUACCUCAGCGAGCGGGCCCUUUGGCUAAUGGUGUAGA